AGCAGCCGCGGUAAUUCCAGCUCCAAUAGCGUAUAUUAAAGUUGUUGUGGUUAAAAAGCUCGUAGUUGGAUCUCAACAGCCUUGAAGCGGUUAACUUUGUAGUUUUACUGCUUUAUAGGCUGUGCUUUUGCUGGAGGUUUAGGGGUGCUCUUGAUCGAGUGUCUCUGGAUGCCAGCAGGUUUACUUUGAAAAAAUUAGAGUGCUCAAAGCAGGCUAAAAUGCCUGAAUAUUCGUGCAUGGAAUAAUAGAAUAGGAUGUCGAUCCUAUUUUGUUGGUUUUCGGGACUCGACAUAAUGAUAAAUAGGGACAGUCGGGGGCAUUUGUAUUCAAACGACAGAGGUGAAAUUCUUGGACCGUUUGAAGACAAACUACUGCGAAAGCAUUUGCCAAGAAUGUUUUCAUUAAUCAAGAACGAAAGUUAGAGGUUCGAAGGCGAUUAGAUACCGCCCUAGUUCUAACCAUAAACGAUGCCAGCUAGCGAUCUGCCUGCGUUUUUACUGUAGACUGGGCAGGAAGCUUCCGGGAAACCAAAGCAUUUGGGUUCCAGGGGAAGUAUGGUUGCAAAGCUGAAACUUAAAGGAAUUGACGGAAGGGCACCACCAGGAGUGGAGCCUGUGGCUUAAUUUGACUCAACACGGGAAAUCUCACCAGGCCCGGACACUGGAAGGAUUGACAGAUUGACAGCUCUUUCUUGAUUCGGUGGGUGGUGGUGCAUGGCCGUUCUUAGUUGGUGGAGUGAUUUGUCUGGUUAAUUCCGAUAACGAACGAGACUCUGUCCUGCUAAAUAGUUUCUACUUCUCUUUUGAGUAGAAAUUUCUUCUUAGAGGGACUGGUGACUCUUAGUCACACGAGGUUGAGCAAUAACAGGUCUGUGAUG
rnacentral:rRNA from 1 species